rnacentral:rRNA from 1 species
AUUGAACGCUGGCGGCAGGCCUAACACAUGCAAGUCGAGCGGGGUUUUCGGACCUAGCGGCGGACGGGUGAGUAAUGCGUAGGAAGCUGCCCGAUAGGGGGGGAUACCAGUUGGAAACGACUGUUAAUACCGCAUAAUGUCUACGGACCAAAGUGUGGGACCUUCGGGCCACAUGCUAUCGGAUGCGCCUACGUGGGAUUAGCUAGUUGGUGAGGUAAUGGCUCACCAAGGCGACGAUCGCUAGCUGGUUUGAGAGGAUGAUCAGCCACACUGGGACUGAGACAGGGUCCAGACUCCGACGGGAGGCAGCAGUGGGGAAUAUUGGACAAUGGGCGCAAGCCUGAUCCAGCCAUGCCGCGUGUGUGAAGAAGGCCUUCGGGUUGUAAAGCACUUUCAGCGAGGAGGAAGGGGUGUGUGUUAAUAGUACACACCUUUGACGUUACUCGCAGAAGAAGCACCGGCUAACUCUGUGCCAGCCGCCGCCGUAAAAC